rnacentral:rRNA from 1 species
CACGUAGGGCGCGAGCGUUGUCCGGAAUUAUUGGGCGUAAAGAGCUCGUAGGCGGCCUGUUGCGUCCGCUGUGAAAGCCCCGGGGCUUAACCCCGGGUCUGCAGUGGAUACGGGCAGGCUAGAGGUAGGUAGGGGAGAAUGGAAUUCCCGGUGUAGCGGUGAAAUGCGCAGAUAUCGGGAGGAACACCGGUGGCGAAGGCGGUUCUCUGGGCCUUACCUGACGCUGAGGAGCGAAAGCGUGGGGAGCGAACAGG